GCCUUCUUCAUGUAUCUCCUCUCGGAGCAUCAUUCCCUGACCUUCCUUUCUAGGGCUCUGAAUCCACCCCAUUGCUGUCUAUCCAGUCAGUCUCUCUUUUCUAGCUGGCAUCCAUCACAAGCAAUCUGCUUAUCUUGUUUUUGUCUAUCUUUGUUGAGUUUUGGUAUUGAUUUUAUGUGUCAGUACCUGAGAAGGAGAGAAGUCCUUGAGUUGUUUCGUAAAUGUGGCUCAAGUGAGAUGCUGAACAGUGCCAGCCAUGUGGACUCUGCCACAGUGAAGGAGGAAGGCAGCACUGAGAAGUGAAGGAAUAUUUGGGAGGAUCAGAAGCUUGGUCCUGAUUUUGCCAUCAACAGGAACUUGAUGACUUCAAGGGAGUCCCCAAACCCUGGGUUUCUGUUUUCUCAACUCUAACAUGAGGGGCUAGAUGCAUCUGGUUUAGUUAGUCUCCAUGAUGGUUUAGUUCGUCUCCAUGAUCCUGUGAAUUUCAGAUGUUGAAAAUCUUCGGAAAAGCCCUGAAAGAUGAACAGUGGUCUCAAAUAGUCAAGACCCCCUGCUGGGAGGAGCUUCUAUCCUGCUCUGUGGAAGAAAUGGGCAUGCCAGAUGCCUG
rnacentral:lncRNA from 10 species